rnacentral:rRNA from 1 species
UACGGAGGGUGCGAGCGUUGUCCGGAAUCACUGGGCGUAAAGGGCGCGUAGGCGGCUUCUCAAGCGUGUGGUGAAAGUCCGGGGCUCAACCCCGGAUCGGCCGUGCGGACUGGGGAGCUCGAGUUCUGUAGAGGCGAGUGGAAUUCCGGGUGUAGCGGUGGAAUGCGUAGAGAUCCGGAAGAACACCGGUGGCGAAGGCGGCCCGCUGGGCAGAGACUGACGCUGAGGCGCGACAGCGUGGGGAGCAAACAGG